GCUCAAUUAGCUCAGCGGAUGAGAGCGCCUGACUACGAAUCAGGAGGUCACAGGUUCGAAUCCUGUAUUGGGCG
rnacentral:tRNA from 1 species